rnacentral:rRNA from 1 species
UACGUAGGGGGCAAGCGUUGUCCGGAUUUAUUGGGCGUAAAGAGCGUGUAGGCGGCCAGGUAGGUCAGCUGUGAAAACUCGAGGCUCAACCUCGAGACGCCGGUUGAAACCAUCUGGCUAGAGUCCGGAAGAGGAGAGUGGAAUUCCUGGUGUAGCGGUGAAAUGCGCAGAUAUCAGGAGGAACACCAAUGGCGAAGGCAGCUCGCUGGAACGGUGCUGACGCUGAGGCGCGAAAGCGUGGGGAGCGAACAGG